AAGAGGGUGAACAGCUCUCUGUGCUUGUGGAGGCAUUUGAAUUCAUCAAUUAGCCCAGUGAUCACCGACUCCAUCCCACCCAUCUACAACAACACACACAGUCAGAGGAACACACAAAGUCAGGGAGACACUUACGGCACUGUCAAUGCCCAGCGUCAGCAACAUGAUGAAGAAGAUAACCGCCCACACUGAUGACCCAGCAUAUAAAUGAUAUGUGUCAAGAAGCUACAAAAUUAGAUGCGAUAAGAAGCUAUGAGAAAAUUAGGUGAAGCUCUCACCGCUUGACAAGGCCCCGUACAUCCCCAAAUAAAUAUAAGCAGGGUGGUUUGAUUUAAUUUUUUCAAAAGACCCU